rnacentral:rRNA from 1 species
GUUGUGGGACUUUUCAGGCUGCUCUGCCGAGCAGCCGGCGUUACAAGAAGGUAUAGACGAACUGGAUUGAAAGCCAGGUCAUAGAGGGUGCCAACCCCGUAGUCGAAAUGCCUCUCUUGGCGCGAAGAGUAUCCUAAGUAGCACGGGGCCCGUGAAAUCCCGUGUGAAUCUGUCAGGACCACCUGAUAAGCCUAAAUACUCCCAGAUGACCGAUAGCGGACAAGUACCGUGAGGGAAAGGUGAAAAGUACCCCGGGAGGGGAGUGAAAUAGUACCUGAAACCGUGCGCUUACAAUCCGUCAGAGCCUUCGAACACUUCGGUGUUGGGGGUGAUGGCGUGCCUUUUGAAGAAUGAGCCUGCGAGUUAGUGGCAUGUCGCGAGGUUAACCCGUGUGGGGUAGCCGUAGCGAAAGCGAGUCCGAAUAGGGCGAGUCAGUGGCAUGUUCUAGACCCGAAGCGGAGUGAUCUACCCAUGGCCAGGGUGAAGCGACGGUAAGACGUCGUGGAGGCCCGAACCCACUUAGGUUAAAAACUGAGGGGAUGAGUUGUGGGUAGGGGUGAAAGGCCAAUCAAACUCCGUGAUAGCUGGUUCUCCCCGAAAUGCAUUUAGGUGCAGCGUCGCGUGUUUCUCACCGGAGGUAGAGCUACUGGAUGGUCUAGGGGGCCCACAAGCUUACCGAAAUCAGCCAAACUCCGAAUGCCGGUGAGUGAGAGCGCGGCAGUGAGACUGCGGGGGAUAAGCUUCGUAGUCGAGAGGGAAACAGCCCAGAUCGCCGGCUAAGGCCCCUAAGCGUGUACUAAGUGGAAAAGGAUGUGGGAUCGCUGAGACAACCAGGAGGUUGGCUUAGAAGCAGCCACCCUUGAAAGAGUGCGUAAUAGCUCACUGGUCAAGUGGUCCUGCGCCGACAAUGUAGCGGGGCUCAAGUACACCGCCGAAGCCGCGGCAUUCACAUAACACCCCGGAAGGGUUACGGCUUUUCCGGCAGUGGUGUGGAUGGGUAGGGGAGCGUCGUGUGGCCGUAGAAGCGCCGGAGUGAUCCAGGUGUGGAGGCCACGCGAGUGAGAAUGCAGGCAUGAGUAGCGAAAGACGAGUGAGAAACUCGUCCGCCGGAUGACCAAGGGUUCCUGGGCCAGGUUAAUCCGCCCAGGGUGAGUCGGGACCUAAGGCGAGGCCGACAGGCGUAGUCGAUGGACAACGGGUUGAUAUUCCCGUACCCGUGUAUCCGCGCCCAAUGGCGAAUCAGUUGUGCUAACCGUCCAAAAGUCUCCGGUGUUCCUUCGGGAACUGUGGGGAUGGCUGCACGGGACCCUGAUUGUAGUAGUCAAGCGAUGGGGUGACGCAGGAAGGUAGCUGGGCCAGGUGAUGGAAUACCUGGUGUAAGCCGGUAGGGCGAAUGGUAGGCAAAUCCGCCAUUCAUCAAGCCUGAGAGGUGAUGCGUACCCGUUGAGGGGAAUUCAGUGAUCCUAUGCUGCCGAGAAAAGCCUCUAGUGAGUUGGUACACGGCCCGUACCCCAAACCGACACAGGUGGUCAGGUAGAGAAUACCAAGGCGCUUGAGAGAACUCGGGUGAAGGAACUAGGCAAAAUGGUGCCGUAACUUCGGGAGAAGGCACGCUGAUAUGUAGGUGAGGUCCCUCGCGGAUGGAGCUGAAAUCAGUCGAAGAUACCAGCUGGCUGCAACUGUUUAUUAAAAACACAGCACUGUGCAAACACGAAAGUGGACGUAUACGGUGUGACGCCUGCCCGGUGCCGGAAGGUUAAUUGAUGGGGUUAGCGCAAGCGAAGCUCUUGAUCGAAGCCCCGGUAAACGGCGGCCGUAACAAUAACGGUCCUAAGGUAGCGAAAUUCCUUGUCGGGUAAGUUCCGACCUGCACGAAUGGCGU